rnacentral:tRNA from 1 species
UGGAUUGAAGCCAGUUGUGNUUGGGCUUUUAGCUGUUAACUAAAUACUUGCAGGUUAGAAUCCUGUCAAUUCAG